rnacentral:tRNA from 1 species
GGAGAGAUGGCUGAGUGGUCGAAAGCGCCCGCCUGAUAAGCGGGUAAGGACUUCAAAGCCUUCGCGGGUUCGAAUCCCGCUCUCCA